CCUACGGGAGGCAGCAGUGAGGAAUAUUGGUCAAUGGCCGGAAGGCUGAACCAGCCAUGCCGCGUGAAGGUCAGUGCCCUAUGGGCUUUAAACUUCUUUUGUGCGGGAGCAAUAAUGGUCACGUGUGGCCAGACGAGAGUACCGUACGAAUAAGCAUCGGCUAACUCCGGGCCAGCAGCCGCGGUAAUACGGGGGAUGCAAGCGUUAUCCGGAUUGUUUGGGUUUAAAGGGUGCGUGGGCUGUGAGGUAAGUCAGCGGUGAAAUGCCCCCGCUCAACGGGGUGAAGUGCCAUUGAUACUGCCUUGCUGGAAUGCGGAUGCGGUGGGAGGAAUGUGUGGUGUAGCGGUGAAAUGCAUAGAUAUCACACAGAACACCGAUUGCGAAGGCAUCUCACGGAUCCGCGAUUGACGCUGAGGCACGAAAGCGUGGGUAUCAAACAGGAUUAGAUACCCUGGUAGUC
rnacentral:rRNA from 1 species